GAAAAAUCGCGGUGCAGCUGCCGGAGCAGCUCGGUAUUUUAUUUAAAUCAAGAUGUUUAACUCAUUAAUUGAGUAAUUGUGUUUUGUGUUUAAAAGACUUUUUUUUUUUGCAGGCCCUUCUUCAAAUGGACGGUUUGCCGUGACUUUCUGUACGGAAACGAGCCCUCUUUUCCCGCGCACCUCCCUCAAAUAGCUGACGUGCCAGAAUGAAGUAAGCAUCCAUAAAGAGUGACCUGCUCCCACAGAGAGAAAACGAGGUAGGACAAAUAUAUCGCAUGACUGAUCGCAUUCCUCACCGUCCUCACCAUUCAUAUCCAU
rnacentral:lncRNA from 1 species